CGAGCUCUAAAGUAAAAUAUGGCUUCAUUUCUUCAUUAGUGUGAAUUCUUUUACCUGUCUAAUCCUUCUUAAGGUCCACUUUACAAUCCCUUAAAAACAAAGCCCCUUUCCCAGAAGCAGGAACAAAAUUCAUGGGGAGCACCUGUUUAGCAAGUUCGAGGUGCUGUGUUAGUCCCUGUCACACACACACACACACACACACACACACACACACACAGGCUUUUCCAGAAAACUGAAGCCCACAUCAAUACAGUUUUGCUUUUCACAAAGUCUGAGAGCAUUGGGUAGUACUGUGUUCAUUAAAUAAUGUCUAUAUGAAACUAUGCUUUCAAAAUCCAAAAGCAUACUUUGGUCAAUUUUUUUUUUUUUUUUUGGUACUGGGAAUCAAACUCAGGGUCUCACACUUGCCAGGCAGGCACUGUACCACUAAGUCAUGCCCAGCCCACCAGCUUUUUUGUUGUUGUUGUUUUAACUAAAUUGAAUAUUAAGUCUUCCAAAGCAACAUGAAGAUCAGAAGCACAGUUAGAGCUCCUGGUUUCUGCCUGUGGGAAGCUGACAGCGUCAUGGUCCGUGACUGUGCCAGUUCCCAUCACCUGACUGUGCCACCCUGCAGGCUCUGGUGUUAAUGGUGCUGCGUUGGGCUCCAGUUCUGCACAGGCGUCGUCACAGCCUCCAUGGUGACUGUGGAAAAAGAGAGGAAGACAAAAUACGGAGCAGCGAGCCAUGGAAAUGUCAUGAGCCUGGCAUCACAGUCAAGCAAACUGAAGUGCCAGUCAUUUUCUCCUGUCCCCUGAGCAACAAGAUGCAAACCAGAAGCAGCAGGUCUAGGAUAAGGGUGACGAUAUUUACAAAGUAAGAACCCUGGCUGCCUGCUGAGUCUCUCAUUUAAACUUCUAAACUGCUCAAGUAGAGACAAUGUAUCAACCGUCACAGAUGACAAGAGGAGAAUGGGCGUAAUCUACUGAAGUGACAAAAGCCAUUGGCACAGUAAAUGCCACGCCCCUUGCUGCCUUGGAGAAUGGAUGAUCCUCUCAGUGCCGCCCGCACCGCACUCAGUGGUGCAGAUGCCCAACCAUGCGGGGCAGCAGCCCGGCUGCAUAAACACUGCUCAGGGCCAGCGCCUGCAGUAAUCAGAGGAUGCGGCCCACUGUGCACCGUGUUUUAGGGUAACGUGGUCAGCACUGUGAGACUCGGAUGACAGGCCAUUAAAAACCCACGAAAGGCAGGUGAGCCUUGGAGUGCUAGUGUUACAGGCAGCUAAGCAAGGUAGAAAUACUACUGGCAAUCAGACAGAGCAGUGCAGGAGACAGAAUUCACUGUAGCGGUGGGGGAGACAGACACUUCCGCUGAGGGCCAGACCCCAAGACAAAAGCCAAAACCAAGGCACCCACAUCCUUCCCCUCAGGAGAAGCAGCAGUGAGUGAUGUUCUAAAUAGAUGUCACCACCUUGGGAAAGCCAGGGAGAGCCGCUGACCCGCCCCCUCCAGGAAAAGCCCCUCUUGUGUUUCUUGACUGCUUGCUGUGUGACCUGCUUCCCCUUUGGGUCCCUAUUUAAUCAAUAUUACCUGAGCAAUUAUGCUCCUGAUCUUAUUGAUUGACCACAGUUUUGUGCCACCUCGUGCCAACCUUGUGAUUUCUCAUUUUUCCCCACCUUGGACCUGCCUCACCUUGUGGUUUUGCUCUAUAAAAAUUCCUUGAAAAGGCAGGGUGCUUGGCAAUCCAUUCUGGACCCCUUCUGUCUUUCUUUGUCAGACAGAAGCUCUUUCCUAAUAAACAUACUCUGUUCUUAACCUCUGUUGUUCCUAAAAUUCAUUUUUCGAUUUUAGCGGUCAUGAACUCAUAUCAGACACCUGGCAGGCUGGGGGUGUCUGUCCCCCAUAUCAAUCCACCAAGAUCAUAGGACAGAGGUAGAAGUUUGCCUUUGUUUCAUACACUCCAAUUGGGACUCAUUUAGGUAAAAAUAUUGCAUUUCAAAUUUUGAUAUGUCUUUACCCAUUGCUUAUAAUUCCUCACGCUGUGUUUCUUACAUAGUUUUGUUAAAAUGAUGACAAAUUUAAGUUAAAAACAUGGGAAGGUUAUAAGGUUACGAUGCUUUUUUGUUUUGUUUUUUGAGAGAGGGUUUCACUCUGCAGUUCAGGCCGGCCUUACAUUCACCAUGUAGCCCAGACAGGCCUCAGACUUGCAGUAAUUCUUUUGCCGCCUCAGCUUCCCGAGUGCUGUGAUUACAGGUGUGCACCACCAUGCCCAGUUUCUAGGAUGCUUUUUUUUUUGUCUUUUUCAUUUUUAUCGGUAUCGGGGAUCAAACUCACAACUGCAUACUUGCAAGGCAGGCGCUUAUGCCGCUGAGCUAAAUCUCCAGCCCCCUAUGAUGCUUUUUUAAUGGGACAUUUUUAUUCCUGUUUUGUGUAUGCUGCAUUCAAGUUAUUGAAUUUACUAGUGUUCCUUGCUUCACUUUACACAAUAGCACUAGAAAGAGUAAUGUUAGAGCUCUCCCUAGUGGACUUUAAUAUAAACUUCUCUAAAAUGGAUCUUUUAAAAUAAAAUCUAGCUCAGUCUUAGAAAAAUGCAUACAUGCCUAUAUAAUAAAACAUGGGACUCCUUCCACCAGUUCAGAGACACUAGGUU